GGGGAAUAUUGCACAAUGGGCGCAAGCCUGAUGCAGCAACGCCGCGUGAGGGACGACGGCCUUCGGGUUGUAAACCUCUUUUGGCAGGGAAGAAGCGAAAGUGACGGUACCUGCAGAAAAAGCACCGGCUAACUACGUGCCAGCAGCCGCGGUGAUACGUAGGGUGCAAGCGUUGUCCGGAAUUAUUGGGCGUAAAGAGCUCGUAGGCGGUUUGUCGCGUCUGCUGUGAAAACCCGAGGCUCAACCUCGGGCCUGCAGUGGGUACGGGCAAACUAGAGUGCGGUAGGGGAGAUUGGAAUUCCUGGUGUAGCGGUGGAAUGCGCAGAUAUCAGGAGGAACACCGAUGGCGAAGGCAGUCACUUGGUCCAUUACUGACGCUAAAGCACGAAAGCGUGGGUAGCAAACA
rnacentral:rRNA from 1 species